GGGACAAUGCAGGAAUCACAUAAUUCAGGUUCAAAGAAAGGUUAUUCAAGCAGUGAGGUAAAGAUUGAAGGAGACAAGAAGCUUCCUUUGAACAAACCAAGUGAGACUUCUAUUAGCCAGACCGCCACUCUAGUGGGAGAUGAGGGCAAGGAAGAGAUAAAAGCCGAAGACAUUCAACUUAGCGAGCCAAACAAUGUUCCGUCAACUGUUUUAGCAACUCAGAAUGCUGAAAUAGCUGAGGGCAGGGGUCAUCAGAUGGAAGAUGCAGUUUCUGGUUCACGCACGGAAGAGAAACUAGU
rnacentral:misc_RNA from 1 species